rnacentral:lncRNA from 10 species
GAGGCUGAGGAGCGUGGGGAGCUGGCGCUCAAGGAUGCUCGUGCCAAGCAGGAGGAGCUGGAAGCCGCCCUGCAGCGGGGCAAGCAGGAUAUGGCACGGCAGCUGCGUGAGUACCAGGAACUCAUGAGCGUGAAGCUGGCCCUGGACAUCGAGAUCGCCACCUACCGCAAGCUGCUGGAGGGCGAGGAGAGCCGGUUGGCUGGAGAUGGAGUGGGAGCCGUGAAUAUCUAGUCUGCAAACUACGGCCACAUGCAGGCUUCCUGUUUGUCAAUCAAGUUUUCUUGGAACCCAGUCAUACCGCUUCCUUCAAGUAUUGCCUUUGGCUGUGGCUGCUUUACAUGACAACGGAGUGGAGCAGUUGAGGCAGAGACUACAUGGCCCACGAGCCUAAAGUUUUUACUAUCUGAAGCUCUAAGAAAAAGUUUGCCUGCCCAGAACCCCAAGCUGUUAUUUCAGGACCCACAAAAUGGAUUACUUACAGACAUUUACAGCACCAACGCCCUCACACAACCUUAUAGGGAAAGCAAAGAGACAGAAAUUAGUUGUGGGGAGCAAAGCUGGUGAAAUCUGUUUAACCUGCAAAUUCUCUCCUCCAAUUAGCGUUGAUGCACAUUCCAAGUAAAUAAUAUGCAGACAUGC